rnacentral:rRNA from 1 species
UAUUGGACAAUGGGCGAAAGCCUGAUCCAGCAAUGCCGCGUGAGUGAUGAAGGCCUUCGGGUUGUAAAACUCUUUCAGUAGGGAAGAUAAUGACGGUACCUACAGAAGAAGCCCCGGCUAACUUCGUGCCAGCAGCCGCGGUAAUACGAAGGGGGCUAGCGUUGUUCGGAAUUACUGGGCGUAAAGCGCGCGCAGGCGGUUUGUAAAGUUGAGAGUGAAAUCCCGGGGCUUAACCUCGGAAUUGCUUUCAAAACUCACAGACUAGAGUAUGGUAGAGGAUAGUGGAAUUCCUAGUGUAGAGGUGAAAUUCGUAGAUAUUAGGAGGAACACCAGUGGCGAAGGCGACUGUCUGGGCCAUUACUGACGCUGAGGCGCGAAAGCGUGGGGAGCAAACA